CAGCUGAAGAUUUGAAAUUAAGUUCUCUGAUGAGGAUAUGGAGUGCAAGUCUCUGUACUUGAACCAAUCACAUAGAAAAUGAGUUGAAAUUAUUCUUACCAAAAAUUAAUCAACUGAACUCUGUAUAGAAAGUCACUCUACCCCUCUGCAAAAAGGAGCACUCGAAGAAAGAUUUUUCUCAGAAAAGUCCAGUGUAUGUUCAUACCUGGAAAAAGGAGACAUUGAAGCCCCAUGGUCAUUUUGUCCUGAAAGUUUUCAAAGCAUCUGCUACCAAUUGCAGGUUGUGGUUAUGAAACUAUUUCAGUUAUGCACUCAUAAAGUCACUGACUUUAUUCCGUGUAACUUCCUGAUGAAUGCCUCAGGAGAAAUUCGUUUCAUGAUGUAACCCUUCGAAACGAAUUGACCUUCCAGUAGGGUGUUUGGAUAUGAACCUGCUACAUGUUGCAAGACACUAAAAUAAUUGUGGUUUUAGAAGAGCUCAUCAUAAGCCAUUCUUUCUGAGAGCAUUUAGAUAGCAAGUCCAGUAAAAUUAAAUUUAUGGAUAUGUCCUCAGGCAAAUUAUUCACUUAACCUCACAAGCCUCAGAUUUCUCAUCUGUAAAAUGAAAGGAUUAAAGCAAUGCCCUCUAGAGUCCUUCAGGCUCUUGUGUCCUAAGAUGCUCUAAGCAAGGCAAAUCAUGUUUUAACAGUAGCAAAUACCAAACCCCAAUUAUUAUUCACUUAAAUGGCUGUUGUUAGGUAGUCAAAGGGUUUUUUCCUUCUUCUUUAAUUGUAGAGAACAAAAUUGUUCAAUAUGAAUUUCCUCAAAAAGACUGAAUGAUAACUUGUAAGAGAUUCCUUCAGAAAUCUCUCUCUACUUGGACUGACCUGAACCUCAGAUGAAAAGGAUCCACCUGUGCCAGACUUUCUAACGGGGUCUAAUGAGCAAACACAGCCAGGGGCACUCACCGUCAUAAGCAUUCUUGAGUUUUUACAUCCUUUGGAAAAAAUCGCUACCAUAUAUUAAGUGGUAUGUGUGCAUUACUUUCUUUAAACCCAGCAGGAAGAAAGGCAUUUUUUUUGUCCCAUUUCACAGAGGAGAAAAUAGAAGUUAAAGUGCCACCAAGCCAGAAAGUGGCGGAGCUAGGUCUCAUCCCUUGUCUUUCCAACUCCAAAGCCCACGUUCACAGGCAGUGGGUGAUACAGCAUUUUUGUACAUGGCCCCCAAAUACUGUUAACAGCCCGUUGUUUCCUACACUCCUGUGUAACUUUUCUUGGGGCAGAAACGGAAAUGUUCUCAACAUAAAGGAGCUAUAAAUUACUGCUGAGCCAACGAAAAAAACCCACAGCAUUUAUCAAGCCAAGUAGGGAUCUUCCAGCCCUGUUGCCACCACAGUUAAAAGUGCAAAGAAAUCAGCCUUGCCUUAAAUCAGAGGUUCUCAAAGUUCAGCCCCCAGAAUGUCUAAGGGUGGGAUCCAGCCAUUCUGGGCUUCAACAAACGCCCCCCCCCCCCCCCGACAAUUCUGAUGCGUAUGUUUAAAUGAAGCGGAGAGACUAAAACCACCUCUCUGUCCUCCGCCUUAAAGCUGACUGACCUGCAGAAACGAUAAAAGAGAAUAGACAGUCCUCGAGACGUGGCUGCGGGCUAUUCAGUCGAGCUGAAAAGCAACACCCUGCUACCGACUCGGCCAAUCAAAUAGGCCGCUAGUCCUGAGAAGGCUGGCGAGCAAGUGGAAGUGUCUAAAGGACCAUUGCGCCAGGGCCAGGGAAAGAGCCCAUUCACUGGACGGGCUCCUUCCAAAACUCAGCCAUGCAGGAAUAGGCUUUUCAAAUGUGUCUUUGCCGAGAUAACACAUCUGUAUCAUCGUUAAGGUUCUUUCAAGCCAGAGGCUUGGUUUCCUCUGAUGGGCAGAACAAGAGCACACACUUUUUUUAAUGUGUCAUGAUCGACAUUUACAAUAAGCCGGUCCCUCUAGGGGGCGCUUCACCCACAGUCCCUAAUUUCCCUCUUGCAUCACUGUGCGGCCGAGAUUCCUGUCUUCACUGUGCAGGUGAGAAAACCGAAGCUGGACAGCGCGACCUAAGUUGUGGACCGGUGCGCGCAUUUCAAGGUCGAGGAGCCUCUGGAGACGGUAAGUUGGCUGAGCAUUAUCUCCGUCCUCCUCCAGCUCCAAGGCCAAUCCCUUCUUUUCCUUGACUCAAGACAGACCGUCAGACAGUCAGCCAGUGCUCUCAGCCUGCCUUCUCACCGCUCCCACUCUUCCUAAACCCCACAUGGCUGAUUUUAAGGCCAGUUUCUGCAGGCUCUAGCCCCCCGUCUCCCAGACAGCUGCCCUAUGAAGGCUGUUGAGACUCACAUGCCCCUGGCUGGAGGGGACAGGGAGACCAGCAGGGGAGGCCGUGACAUAACAGAACCCAGGAAACGUGUCAACAGGGACCCUGAAUAGACAGGUACUGAACAACUAGAAAUACUCCUGGCCAACGGGGAACCCAGGACAGGUAUGGUGGUUUAUAAGCAGCUUGUUGUAGCUGCGUCACCCCACAUAGCAAAACAGCUGGUGUGCGAAUUACAAACAGGUUUGAUGAACCUUGUGUGCUGUUUUCUUAGAACGGUGACUCCUCUACCAUGGUGACAAGGCUACACCUCAGAGUUUGCUGACCCCCGGCCCAGUUUCUGCUCACUCUUAGCCGGAGGGCUCAUGGGCACUACUGUAAGUCCCCCGACAGGGACCGUAUUUCCCCCCCAUGGUGUAUGCAUUUCGAUGCAAAAAUGGGAACAUUCCCUUGGUGUGGUCAUGGACAAACAUUGGUACCGACUCGGAAACUUGUUCCGCUCCUAGCAGCCCUGUGUCUACCUUAGAAGCUCCCCUGGUUGGGUGGAGAGACCCCCUUCCAUGUGCGGCUACUGGCUCCAUAUUCCCAUCACUGACCGCGGGAACCACAGUCACGGGCCGGUGGCAGGCAGGGACUUCUUUGCUGAGUUUCCCCGUCCCUUUCCCACUUCCUCCCAAACGCCCUGUCAGCGGAGCCCUUCCCACUUCACAAAAAAUGAAAUAAUAGCUGAUGCGAUUUAAGUGCUUCCCGCAGGCCAGGCGCUGAGCUGAAAGGGAUUCUCAGCCAUGUCUCACACGAAAGCCUGGGAGGUGGGUACCACUCUUCCCUGCAUUUCACCAAGGGGGGGACGAAGGCUCUUAAGUCAGAGGGCGGCAGAUGGAGCGGCAGAGCCAGCUCUUUGACCCGGGGACCUCGAGCCCCAAAGCCCUGCUCCUGAUUCCGGCACUGAGCUCCCUGGUAAACUACGACCCCCCUCGGCCCUACCAGCAUUUAACACGGGCGGCAGCAGAGGCUUCUCCCUUCUGCACCCGAGACGAGGGUAGCUUCUCAAACGCAGUGGACACUCUACUCAGGCGCCCUUUGCCCAGGGAAGCUCUCCUCUCCUGCUCUGCCUGGACCUCAUGUGGCGCCACCAUUCCAGUGCCUCCAGGGUGAGCGGGGGCCCUGGCUGGUCUCACGGUUGGUGGAGGAAUGAGGGCCUCGCCUGUUCUGCCCCCAGACUGCUCAGCUCCCCCUCAGAAGCUGGGCUUUCCAAAGCAGCCUUCCAAAGUCACUUGCUUGAAACUCAGGACACAUGCACAUGUUGAAAGGACGAGGAGGGACCCAAGGUAGUCUACAGCUAAUCGCUUGUGCCUAUAAUAGGAGUAACGGCUAGAGCAGCCCAGGGCCACGUGGGGUUGCUGAGGACCCUAAAACCCUCUGAUGCCAGGCCUUCUCACGCCCCUUAGUCCCGGGUCAGUGCAGUAAGAAUAUCGGCUGGAGUGCGGGGGCAUCUGCCUUGCUUUGGACCCGACUUUACCAUCGUAUUAUCUCACUUGACUUUCGCAGCAGCUCUGGACCGGAGGCACGAUGAUUAGCCUCGAAAACCCAGGCACGUAGAAGCUAAGAGACGUCCAAGGUCACAGAGGACACAAGCAAAGAGGAGCAGGAACAGAGCCCAGUCUGUGCCCCAAACCCAUGUGACCAACAGUUUUCAGAUGCAGAACUGCUGCACUGCGAAGCCAGCUGACCUACCCAAAUCGCCUGCCAGGUGAAAGCCCUGGUCUGUUGGACGCCUGGAGCCCAGUUCUCCCCGUCAGGCUACCUGCUCUCCUGCUGGCUCCGCAAGUUCUCCCUGGGCCCCGACGCCGCCAGGCCCAGGCUGAGUGCGACCAGUUCUGUUGCUCGGGCUGUGAGCAUCCACGUGCAUGGGGGAGACGGACGGUAAACAAAGACCACAAGUGUCCCACGCGCACAGAGAAGAGCCGUCACCACACAGCAGUCGAAGGUUCAGGCCCCGGAGCACAGCUGUGUUGGAAGCCAGAUGAAAGAGCGUAUAAGCCCAGUUACAGAAAACUCGAGGAAGUCCCCAGUGACCUUCAGUGACAGAAGCAGCCACGAUCGCCCGGGGACCGGGCAGAGGGAGUGGGAAGGGCUGGCCGCGGAAAGGAGGCUCCCAGAGGCAGAGGAUGCUCUGGGGGGGACCCCCCUGCCGGUGGUGCUGGAUGUUGGCAGGUGUGUGCACCUGUCCGAGCUUCUCAUGUUGUGUGCAUUUGUCGUGGUCAGUUUCUUGCUUAGCAACUCAAUAAAGCUUUUUCUCUUUGAAGAGAAAAAUUA